rnacentral:rRNA from 1 species
UGAGGGAAUAUUUGGGUCAAUGGGGCGGAAGCCUGAACCAGCCAUGCCGCGUGAAGGACUAAGGCCCUAUGGGUCGUAAACAUCUUUAGACGCAGAGCAAUAAGGGUCUCGAGAGAUCCGAUGAGAGUAUGCGUAGAAUAAGCAUCGGCUAACUCCGUGCCAGCAGCCGCGGUAAUACGGGGGAUGCGAGCGUUAUCCGGAUUUAUUGGGUUUAAAGGGUGCGUAGGCGGAAGUGCAAGUCAGCGGUGAAAUCCCCGCGCUCAACGCGGGAGUUGCCGUUGAUACUGAGAGACUGGAGUGCGCUUGAGGUAGGCGGAAUGCGUUGCGUAGCGGUGAAAUGCAUAGAUAUGACGCAGAACUCCGAUUGCGAAGGCAGCUUACCAAAUCGCUACUGACGCUGAGGCACGAAAGCGUGGGGAUCGAACAGGAUUAGAUACCCUGGUAGU